rnacentral:miRNA from 1 species
UAUAUAUAUAUAUAUGUUUGUGUGUGUGUGUGUGUGUGUGUGCAUUUAUAUAUAUCUAUACAUACACACACACACACACACACACACACACACAUG